rnacentral:rRNA from 1 species
AAAUGAAUAGACGGGGGCCCGCACAAGCAGUGGAGUAUGUGGUUUAAUUCGAAGCAACGCGAAGAACCUUACCAGGGCUUGACAUCCCUCUGACGUCUCUAGAGAUAGGGAUUCCCUUCGGGGCGGAGGAGACAGGUGGUGCAUGGUUGUCGUCAGCUCGUGUCGUGAGAUGUUGGGUUAAGUCCCGCAACGAGCGCAACCCCUGUUGUUAGUUGCCAGCAUUUUGGAUGGGCACUCUAGCAAGACUGCCGGUGACAAAUCGGAGGAAGGUGGGGACGACGUCAAAUCAUCAUGCCCCUUAUGUCCUGGGCUACACACGUACUACAAUGGCGACCACAGAGGGAAGCAAUACCGCGAGGUGGAGCAAAUCCCCAAAAGUCGUCCCAGUUCAGAUUGCAGGCUGCAACUCGCCUGCAUGAAGUAGGAAUUGCUAGUAAUGGCAGGUCAGCAUACUGCCGUGAAUACGUUCCCGGGCCUUGUACACACCGCCCGU